rnacentral:rRNA from 1 species
UCCAGGCCCUACGGGGCGCAGCAGGCGCGAAACCUCCACAAUGCGGGAAACCGCGAUGGGGUUACCCCGAGUGUCGCCCGCUGAGGGCGACUUUUCUGGGGUCUAAAAAGCCCCAGGAAUAAGGGGAGGGCAAGUCUGGUGUCAGCCGCCGCGGUAA